CGAAUGCUGAGGAACUCCAGCGGAAGCGGAAGCGGAAGCGCUCGAGUGUAAACAGACUCUGACACAACGCUGAGGAAGAUUUCACUUCACACACACACACAGCUCACAGACGUGAGGAUCAGUGACGCUGAGCGACACACAGACAAGAGUGAUGACAUCACAGACCGUGACAUCACCUCGUCCGCUCCUCUGACGUCAACCGCUCAUGACGGCCGAUCGACCAAUCAGCUGCGAGCAUCUCCAGGGGACGAUUCGCUGGUUCUGUUUGAGAAACACGAGACCCACAGACCUCGGGACGCACCGGACAGUCGCUACGUGACCAAUGACGACACGGACGACACUGUCUGAUAAAGAGAACGAGGAGCUCCUUCCCAAACAGAUGUGGAGGACGGAGCUGAGGAAAGCCAGAGAGCAGAGGAAGGAGAAGGAAGGUGAGGAUCGCAUCAACACUGACCUCACAAACGCAGAGCUUCCUGUUACGGCCCGAUCUCUGUACGACUCCAAACAGAAGCGGCUCGCUGAGGAUUGUGGGGUCAUGGGGGACGAGAACGCCAGCAAUCGUUAAAGCUCUGCGAUUGGCUCGUCUUACGACGUGGACGUCCCGUCUGGCCUGUGGAAGCAGCUGACCCCUGAGACGGGAGGUCACGAGGUCACGUCUGGGAUCAAACGGAGGCUCCUGAUGAACGAGGACGAGGCGUUCGGUCCUGGACGAGGGACGGGGAGCACUCUCUCCAGCACACCCAGAGGGCUGCAGUUGUCUGCGCAGACGCAGGAGGAUCAGGUGACGGCUCUGAUGGAGGAAGAGCGCAGACAACAGCAGGAACUACUGCAGUCGUUAGCGGAGCGUGUCCUUCCCGUGGCUCACGUCUGGAGGACACACUGACCUCCAUCUGUCUGCACACACAACACCUCAACACCUCACGGGAUAAUAAAGAGAAGGGAUCCCUCUCUGCUGCCACCAGAGAAGCUUUAGAACGCAAGAAUCUCAUGUUUGAAACACAGACGACACACGAGACGCACGACAUUCACAUCAAGCCUCUUCCUCCUGGAGAAACGCAUCACUUCCUGCUGUCUGUCGUCAGGCUCUCGUUACUGUACAGAGCUGAUGAUCUGAAACGAUUCCGUCCUGACAGACACUUUCUGUGAGAUUUACACACAUCCAAACAUGCCCAGGUCAUAUUUCACCCCAAAACCAACAGAAAAUCAAGUCAAUUUUUAUGACCAUUAAAAUCUAAAUUAAUUUAUGCAAAAAAGCCAAUUUAUUUGCAUAUAUAUAUAUGUAUAUAAUUUU
rnacentral:lncRNA from 1 species